UACGUAGGGGGCAAGCGUUGUCCGGAAUUAUUGGGCGUAAAGCGCGUGUAGGCGGUCCACUAAGUCAGGGGGGAAAUCCUGGAGCUCAACUCCAGAACUGCCUUUGAUACUGGGAAUCUCGAGUCCGGGAGAGGUGAGUGGAACUGCGAGUGUAGAGGUGAAAUUCGUAGAUAUUAGCUAGAACACCAGUGGCGAAGGCGGCCAACUGGUCCGGUACUGACGCUGAGGUGCGAAAGCGUGGGGAGCAAACAGG
rnacentral:rRNA from 1 species